UUACAGGCUAUUUUCUGAUCGGUUUCUGAAACCUGAAAAUGGAAUUAGCAGAAGAACUAUCCUGAACGAAUAUGUGACCACAGAGUAGGAUGCAUUGGAAAGAACAAGAAUGGAUAAAGGAGAGUGCUUAGGAGGCUCCUGGAGCAGGAAGAGGUGGUGGCGAAUAGACUACCGGAGCAGUGGAGGGUGGAGAUGGAGAGACGUGGAAAGACUGAAGACAUAUCCUCGAGACAAAAUGAAACAGAAAACUAAGGGCAGAAAAAGAUAACCUGCAAAGAAUGCUGGUAAUCAAGUAGAGUUACUGUUGAGCUGAACUGAAUGAUCGGUAGGUAGUAUAUAUAGGCUGAGCCUCCCUAAUGUGAAACUCUGAAAUCCAAAAUGCUCAGAAAACAGGGGAAAAAAAAAAGUUUUAGACUUUAGAACAUUUCAGAUUUCAGAUUUU
rnacentral:lncRNA from 1 species